rnacentral:rRNA from 1 species
GCGGAGGAAAAGAAACUAACCAGGAUUGCCUCAGUAAGGGCGACUGAAGUGGCAAUAGCUCAUGAUGUGAAUCUGCGGCCGAAUUGUGGUAUCGCUUGUGUUCAGGGCUGGGCCAAGUCCGUUGGAACACGGCAGCAAAGAGGGUGAGACUCCCGUUCGCCUGGCCCUUGGAACAAGCGUGAUUGAGUCGAGUUGUUUGGGAUUGCAGCUCUAAGUGGGUGGUAAAUUCCAUCGAAAGCUAAAUACUGGUGGGAGACCGAUAGCGUACAAGUACCGUGAGGGAAAGAUGCAAAGAAGCGCGAAAGCGCUGUUAAAGAGUACCUGAACUUGCUGAAACGGAAGCGAAGGAAAUCAGUGCUAGCUGCGUCAUACUUCCCCGUCUGCUUGCGGUCGGGGCGCUGUGGCCAGUGUUGUCAGGCUUGGUUGAGGGCUGUGGAAGAGCGUGGGCAGAGUUGAUGUCCAUUGC